AUGCCUAAUCCUAGGGAAGUGGAUCGUGCUCUGUUUGUGGAAAAUGUGAGACUAAAGCAGUGUGGAGUUUCAGUUAAGUUUUCUCCUUGGUCUGAAGAUAUUGAAUCUGAGGGUCUGUUGGAAAUUACUUGGGUUCGAAUUGGGAAGAUCCCUCCGAACAAGAGAUGUGAUAGGACGGUGGCCUAUGUGGGUGGAUUAGUGGGCAUUACUCUUGAGGUAGAUGUGUCUACUAUAAAUCGUUCUUCGUCUGUUAGAGCCAAAAUUGGAUGUCGCUCUGUUGAUCAGUUGCCUGCUAUGGUGGAAGGUGUCCUGGGGGGGCGUUUCUAUAAGUUUACCUAUGAGGUGGAAGAAGUUCUUGUCAGGAAUCCUGUGAUCAAAGACCCUAUGGAAGUGGAAGCGAAAGAUGCACCUACUAAACCUGAUCAGACUCCUAAACGUAAACGAGCUGAUCAGGAAAAAGAGGAAAAGCAAGCUGACUUCCCUGAGAGUAGCAGAGAUGGUGCUGGUGCUCGUGGGGGCAAGACCUGUCGUCUGUCACCACAAGACCAUGACCUCUCAGAAUCAUCAGAUAGUGAAAAUGAUACAUCCCUGCUUAUUGAAACACUGGCAAAAGAACACGAGAUGGCUGGAGGAGGAACAACUCUGGAUACCUCACGCUGGAUGGUGGCUAUGGAGACUGAUAUACAUAUGGCCCCGCUGGAACAUGUAAUUGAGCCUAAAGAUGUGCAGGUAAAUGAUAUACCCGCAACUCGUCGUUCGUUGUCUUUUGAUGUUACUGGGGCUAACUCUGCUCAGGUUGUGGAGGUGAAUGGUGACGUAUACCCAGAUCUGAAGACCUCAAGUGACUACAUGGUACAGCUUCCUCUUUCUGAUCACAACUAUGAGAUCAUCCUCACACCUCCCCUUGCGCCUGAAGUGGCACUAAGAUUCAGCAAGCGCAAUACGUAG
rnacentral:rRNA from 1 species